GACGAACGCUGGCGGCGUGCUUAACACAUGCAAGUGGAGCGACGAACCGGGGCUUGCCCCGGGGCAGAGCCGCGAACGGGUGAGUAACACGUGGGUAACCUACCUCGAUGACCGGGACAACCCGAGGAAACUCGGGCUAAUACCGGAUGUGGUCGCCUUUCAUAAGGGAGACGACUAAAGAUAGCUUCGGCCUUCGCAUCGAGACGGGCCCGCGGCCCAUUAGCUUGUUGGUGGGGUAACGGCCUACCAAGGCUCCGAUGGGUAGCUGGUCUGAGAGGACGAUCAGCCACACUGGGACUGAGACACGGCCCAGACUCCUACGGGAGGCUG
rnacentral:rRNA from 1 species